rnacentral:tRNA from 1 species
GGAAAGGUGCCGGAGCGGUUGAACGGGGCGGUCUCGAAAACCGUUGUCCCGAAUAUUCGGGACCGAGGGUUCGAAUCCCUCCCUUUCCG